rnacentral:rRNA from 1 species
GACAGAGGUGCCAAGCGUUAGGCGGAAUCACUGGGCUUAAAGCGUGUGUAGGUGGAUGUCUAAGUACCUUGUGAAAUCCCACGGCUCAACCGUGGAACUGCUUGGUAUACUGGAUGUCUUGAGCCAGCUAGGGGCUACCGGAACAAAUGGUGGAGCGGUGAAAUGCGCAGAUAUCAGGAGGAACACCGGUGGCGAAGGCGGGUCUCUGGGCCGUAACUGACGCUGAGGAGCGAAAGCGUGGGGAGCGAACAGG